rnacentral:rRNA from 1 species
CACGUAGGGGGCGAGCGUUGUCCGGAAUUAUUGGGCGUAAAGAGCUCGUAGGCGGUGUGUCGCGUCGGCCGUGAAAACCUGCAGCUUAACUGUGGGCUUGCGGUCGAUACGGGCAUCACUGGAGUUCGGCAGGGGAGACUGGAAUUCCUGGUGUAGCGGUGAAAUGCGCAGAUAUCAGGAGGAACACCGGUGGCGAAGGCGGGUCUCUGGGCCGUAACUGACGCUGAGGAGCGAAAGCGUGGGGAGCGAACAGG